GCACCACUCACGAUCCCCGACCCACCCGCCGCCCCCGCAGGAAACCCCCAAUCCACCUACCACCGGGGACCACCCUACCAUCGCCGCCCUUGACCACAGGUGCCGCCGCCCCCGACUCGAGGCGCCGCUGCCCCGCCAACCCCGGGCGCCGCCACCUCUGGAAACCCCCAUUCGGAAAUCACCGCCUCCUACCGUGACGCUGCUGCCGGCCUCCUCCCGCAGCGCCGCUGCCAGGCCCUCCUGCCGCAGCGCCGCCACCUGCAGGACCGGAUCCUCGUCACCACGCGCCCGGAUCCCGGUCAGGGCCGGUGAGAUCCCCUUGCCUACCUUCUUCUUCUUCAUUAUUGAAUGAUUUCACCGGUCGUCCCAGUGCACUGUCGCGCAGCCCCAGUGACAUCGCGCGCUGCCGUCCUACCUCCAGAGUGUUGCCACUGUCAGGCGUCGUCUUCGCCAAACCGCCUAAUCAUCUUGAACUUCCUCCGGAUCCGGCCUCGAACUUCUACCAGCAGAGUGCCGCACCGACUAUGGAUGAUGAGCUCCCGGAUCCCGCCGUUGUAGCUGUCCCAACCCCACUGCAGGGCACGAACGUCGUUCCUCAAGACAGCUUCGACUUCCUCUUGAUGCUCCUCCAGAAGGUGACGCUGUGGCAACACACAUUGAUUUCUCACCUGUCAAAAGAAAAGAACAAGCAAGCACGGGAAGAAGAUUCCAACUUUCUAUGAGCAUCAAAGGAUCUGUAGUGUUUAUGUGCUGGCUGAUGCUUCCUCAGAACUACCCUUUGAGAAAGAAAUGGUGCGUCGAGAGAAAAGCAAAGUGCAGAGAA